AGCAGUAGCCACGUUAAUACAGAGGGUGCGAGCGUUAAUCGGAUUUACUGGGCGUAAAGCGUGCGUAGGCGGCUUCUUAAGUCGGAUGUGAAAUCCCUGAGCUUAACUUAGGAAUUGCAUUCGAUACUGGGAAGCUAGAGUAUGGGAGAGGAUGGUAGAAUUCCAGGUGUAGCGGUGAAAUGCGUAGAGAUCUGGAGGAAUACCGAUGGCGAAGGCAGCCAUCUGGCCUAAUACUGACGCUGAGGUACGAAAGCAUGGGGAGCAAACAGGAUUAGAUACCCCCGUAGUCCCUGUCUCUUAUAC
rnacentral:rRNA from 1 species